CACUACAGUCUCAAACUCCUGGGCUCAAGUGAUCCUCCCAUUUCAGCCUCCUGAGUAGCUGAGGCUACAGGCAUGUGCCACCACACCCAGCUAAUUUAGAACAUUUUUCUUUUUUUGUAGAGACAAGGUAUUGUUAUGUUGUCUAGGCUGGUCUUGAACUCCUGACCUCAAGCAGUACUCCUGCCUCAGCCUCCCAAAGUGCUGAAUUACAGGCAUGAGCCAUUGUGCCCGGCCCCAACCCAGUUUUUAUUGCAACGUGGAUUGUCUACAGUUUAUAGUGUGAAAAAGUAUAAAAAAUGAUUCCCAAUUUUAGGUUUUGAGUUAUAGCUCCCUGAAGUUCCUGGGUUGCAUUUUGCUACAGUCUGCACACAAGAAAAACAAAACAAAACAAGACACACAGUCUGAUACGCAGAGAGAUGUUCUCUCUGUACAGUUAUAUAAUAACAAUAGCUAACAUUUGUGGAGCACUCAGUGUGUGCUAAGCCACUCAUCUACAUUGUUUCCUUUAAUCCUGAGAUUAAAUAAAUUCUGAGAAGUAGCUGUAAUGAUAAGGAAACUGAGCCUUGGAGCUGUAGCUCAACAUCACACAAGGCAGCUGAGUCUGGGCUCAAAUUCAGGCCUUGGGGCUGUCCUGUCAUUCUUAUAAAUAAUCUCAACAGGAAGAAGGCCAGCAGGCUCAGUGUGACACUCGAUCCUAAAUUAUUCUCUUUCACUUUCUGCCCGAUUAAAAGACCAUAUGGUAAUUAAAUAUUUCUGGCCAGCAAUGUCUUGCCAUUUAUUGAAAAAUAAUACCACAAUAUCUCUAAUAAUUGUUUCAUUAAAAACAAGAACAGAGCCCCAGCUAUGUCCGGAAUGGCUCUAAGAACAUCUUUCUACUUCUCUGCACCUUAGUCUCUCCUGAGGCAAGAUGGAAAGAACAAAAUUACGAGGUUGCUUUGGCAAAAAAAAAGGAACAAUGGAUAUUACUUUAUUAGGACUAGGAGCCACUUUUUAUGGCAGGUUGCAACUGUCAAAGGACAUUUUAGGGUCGAGAAGCCCCCUUGCAAAGGACAAAAGAUGUCCAUGGGAGGUACAUGCACAGGUUGUACAUGGGUAUAUUGCAUGAUGCUGAGGCUUGGGUUUCUGGAUGAUCCUAUUGCCCAAGUAGUGAACGUAGUACCUGAUAGGUAGCUUUUCAGCCCUUCUCUCUUCUUCUUCCCCCUUCCCUCCUUCUGGAGUGCCCAGUGUCUAUUCUUAUUUUUAUGUCUGUGUGUACCCAAUGUUUAGCACUCGCUUAUAAGUGAGAAUAUGUGGCAUUUGGUUUUCUGUUCCUGCGUUAAUUUGCUUAGGUUAAUGGUCCCCAGCUACACCAAUGUUGCUGCAAAUGACAUGAUUUCAUUCUUUUUUAUGGCUGCAUAUUCUCUAAUGUUAAUUGAUAAUGCCAGAUAAAUCUUCAGACUUCUAGAUUAUAAUCAUGGAACCAGUUGGCUGUAAAAUUUAAAAAGGAGGAGGGGUGCUUUUUAUUGGGCCCUUCUUGCAACAUUUGGUUCAUUGGCUAAAAAAUUGAAAUGUAAGAAAAAAGGAAGGAGCACAAUUAGGGAGAAGCAAGUGAACACACAUGGAGUGAUUGAGGCUUCUGGAGUGGUGAGGGAUUGGCCUUGGCGCUGGGUCUUGUUCUUGGUAUGUGUGCCGGACAUGUUAAUCUUGGCAGUUUGUAUAGGCUUAUAUUGGGCUAGGCCUAAGGAAUUCCACAGAAAAAGAUAAUGGGAAAAGCCACUGUGGCACAGGAAAAAAAUGUUUACUUGGUAUUGUGGGAGCCCUCUUACUAGGCAGAAGUUCACUUCCAUUGCAGCACUGCAGUGCAGGCACCUAAAGAUCAAAGGGGACGUGGAAAUAUAAAGGCUUUGAAUAUCUGGUUGCUUCAUUCUUUCUUUGUUUUGCUGGGCAUUUUGUCCAAUUAUUUGUUCAAAACGCCAAGAACUUGGACAACUUGCAGUCAAGACCCUCUACUAGUAACAAUAUUAUCAUUAUUUUUUGACUUGGAGGCCCUGAAGGAAAUGCCCCCAUUCCAAUGAAAUACAGCUUAAGCUGUACUUGUCAAAAGAUCCCUGACUGUACCCCCACACUGAAAUCCCUUCCGAAGAGACAAGGCAUUGCUAUGUUACCCAGGCUGGUCUGAAACUCCUGGCCUCGAAUGAUCCACCCACCUUGGCCUACCAAAGUGCUAGGACUAUAGGCGUGAGCCAGCACGCCCACCCAGGAGUGACUCUUAGGCAACCUCGAUAUUACCUUCUGUGAUAGGCUGAAUAAUGGGCCCCCAAGUAUGUUCACAUCCUAAUUCUCAGAAUCUGUGAGUAUGUUAUAUGGCAAAAGGAACUUUGCAGAUGUGAUUAAGUUGAGGAUCUUGAGAUAAGAGAGGUUACCUUGUGUGUCCAAUAUAAUCCAUUGAUCUCUAUAAGAAGGACAGAGGAAGAGUCAGUAAAAUAAAGUGAUGUGACGGCAGAAGCAGAUUGGAAUGAUGAGCUUUGGAGAUGGAGGAAGAAGCCGUAAGUCAAGGAAUACAGUCCAGUAGAAACUGAAAAGGCAAGAAAACAUUCUCCCCUCAGAGGCUUCAGAAGGAACCAGUCCCUCUGACACCUUGACUUUACCCCUAAUGAAAUGGAUUUUGGAUUUCUGACCUCAAGAGCUAUUGAGAAUAAAUUUGUUUUCUAAG
rnacentral:lncRNA from 1 species